rnacentral:tRNA from 1 species
GACCGUAUAGCUCAAUGGUAGAGCAUGUGCUUAACAUGCACGAGGUACUGGGUUCAAUCCUCAGUACUUCCA